rnacentral:sRNA from 1 species
GCUGGGCGUGGUGGUGCAUGCCUGUUAUCCCAGCAGCUCAGGAGGCUGAGGCAGGAGGAUCACAAAGUUCAAAGCUGGUCUCAGUAAAAGUGAGGCACUAAGCAACUCAAUGAGACCCUGUCUCUA